rnacentral:lncRNA from 1 species
UUACAUAUGUAUACCUGUGCCAUGUUGGUGUGCUGCACCCAUUAACUGGUCUGCCAUUUUUACCCUUUGUCUAUAUUUCUAUUACUGAACAGAUACCACAGUAUAUUAAUUUCUGUAGCCUUAUAAAAUGUUUUGAUAUUAGGUAGAAUAAUCAUCCUAUCUUGUUUUUUUUCUUUCUUUUUGUUUUCAAGUUUUCCUGUUUUUGGGAUACAGAACUGUUUUAUUACCGCAAAGAAACUUCCUCUUGUUAUUUCUCAAAAGUCAGUCACAUCCUCUCCCCAAAACCUCCUAAACCCUGGAGACCAAAGAUCUGUUCUACAUCACUAUAAUUUCAUUGCACAGAUACAGAUAUAGAUAUAAAACAUACAAUAUGUGAACUUUUGAGAUUGGCUUUCCUUUUUUUACAAAGUACAAUGCCCUUGAGCUCUAUCCAGGUCAUUGUAUGUGUCAAUAAUUUCUUCUUUUUAAUUCCUGAAUAGCAUUCUAGUGUCUAAUUGUACCAAAGUUUGUUUAUGCAUUUGUACUGAAGGACAUUUGUGUUGUUUAUAAGUUUUGCUAUUACAAAGGAAGCUGCUAUGGACAUUUAUGUCAGGUUUUUGAAUGACUGUAAGUUUUUAUUUCUCUAGGAUAACUAUGCAGGAACAUGGGGUUGUAAAACGAAUC